AGCAGUAGGGGAAAGUACUUUCCGGUCCAAAUAGGGGGGCGAACCCUGACCGAGCAACGCCGCGUGAGUGAAGAAGGGUUUCGGCUCGUAAAGCUCUGUUGUUAAAGAAGAACACGUAUGAGAGUAACUGUUCAUACGUUGACGGUAUUUAACCAGAAAGUCACGGCUAACUACGUGCCAG
rnacentral:rRNA from 1 species